UACGGAGGGGGCUAGCGUUGUUCGGAAUUACUGGGCGUAAAGCGCACGUAGGCGGCUUUGUAAGUUAGAGGUGAAAGCCCAGGGCUUAACCCUGGAAUUGCCUUUAAGACUGCAUCGCUAGAAUCGUGGAGAGGUGAGUGGAAUUCCGAGUGUAGAGGUGAAAUUCGUAGAUAGUUCGGAAGAACACCAGUGGCGAAGGCGACUCACUGGACACG
rnacentral:rRNA from 1 species